CACGGGUGAGUAAUGUAUAGGUAAUAUGCCUCUUACUAAGGGAUAACAAAUGGAAACGUUUGCUAAUACCUUAUACUCCUUAUUAACAGAAGUUAAUAAGGGAAAGAUUUAUUGGUAAGAGAUUAGCCUGUAUUGUAUCAGUUAGUUGGUGGGGUAAUGGCUUACCAAGACUAUGACACAUAACUGGUUUGAGAGGAUGAUCAGUCACACUGGGACUGAGAUACGGCCCAGACUCC
rnacentral:rRNA from 1 species